GUUCCAGGGCUCCAAGCAGCCCCAGCACAGCCAGACUGCUACCAGGGGCUGUUGCUGGGACCCCAUGUUGGCACCCAUUGGGAAACCAUGCCCUGCAGAAUGAAGUGGUAUCUCUCAAGGGCUGUUCCCUGCAUGUAUGCUCUGCAUGAAGUUCUUAUUGGAAAGAUGUAUUUCCACCUGCCCAGAUCUGAAGCUGCCAGGUAAUCUUCUCCUGACUUCCAGACAGAAGACCAUAACCUUGGUAUUUCUUGCGUCUCAGUACAAAGCAACUCCUUCUCCAGACCUCACGUUUUCCUACUCCAAUACACAUAAAAUGGGCAAGACCAUAUACUGUAUCCAUUGAGGAUGUAUCGUUAAGCAUGCACUAUUGACAGCAGAAAGCAUCAUCGUAUUAACGAAGAAAAAAACAACAAAAAGAGUUGCUCAAAACAGAGAAGGUGAAUUCGAGCAAGCCAGCUGCAGCAGGAACACAAAAACCUGUGGGCACUGCGUAAGGACACAUUUAGACUUCCCAGCAAAACAAACAUUUAAGAACAGCUCUAGUGCUACAGCUCAUCUGAACACUUCCGUCACAACAAAGAUAUGAUCAGGAAAGACCAUGACCUGUA